AUACGUAGGUGGCGAGCGUUGUCCGGAAUCAUUGGGCGUAAAGAGCGCGUAGGCGGCUUGUCAGGUCUGAUGUGAAAUGCCGGGGCUCAACUCCGGACGUGCAUCAGAAACCGGCUUGCUAGAGUCUGGGAGAGGGAAGUGGAAUUCCUGGUGUAGCGGUGAAAUGCGCAGAUAUCAGGAGGAACACCGGUAGCGAAGGCUGCUUCCUGGAACAGUACUGACGCUGAGGCGCGAAAGCUAGGGUAGCAAAGAGGAUUAGAUACCCUGGUAGUCCUAGCCGUAAACGAUGGACACUAGGUGUCGGGAGUGUCGACUCUCCCGGUGCCGAAGCUAACGCAUUAAGUGUCCCGCCUGGGGAGUACGGCCGCAAGGUUAAA
rnacentral:rRNA from 1 species